rnacentral:rRNA from 1 species
UACAGAGGGGGCAAGCGUUAUUCGGAAUUAUUGGGCGUAAAGGGCGCGUAGGCGGCUUGGCAAGUGGAUGGUGAAAUCCCUCGGCUUAACCGAGGAACUGCCAUCCAGACUGCUUUGCUUGAGGCCGGGAGAGGUGAGUGGAAUUCCCAGUGUAGAGGUGAAAUUCGUAGAUAUUCGGAGGAACACCAGUGGCGAAGGCGGCUCACUGGUCCGGUACUGACGCUGAGGUGCGAAAGCGUGGGGAGCAAACAGG